rnacentral:lncRNA from 1 species
AGUAAUAUUCCCUCUCUUUUCAUAGUUGGAUUCUCCUUGGCUCCAGAGUACUAGGCUGCCUCUACAAAUAGUAUUUGUGAUUGAUUACUGCCAGCCCAAGGGUCCCUGGAAUUGUCUGUUGGGCCAACGUGAAGACCUGAGUGCAAUAAUAUAUAUCAUUCACUAAUUUGUCAAGGAGGAAAGGACACUGAUAAUCUGAAGGCCUGCUUGAUCUUGUUGGGCAAUUUCAGUUCACUGGAGCCCUGCUUGGGAAAGAAUGGUUUCAGGAUUUUCAGCAGUCUAAAACUAACUAGGAUCUACUAUAACCUGGAUCUC